rnacentral:lncRNA from 1 species
CUUGAAUAUUAUCCUUCAUAUAAGUAAAUUCAUUUCAUUAAAGUAAAGUGAUUCAGUUGCACUCACCCAUUGACACAUCUCUGGUUAUUCACUUCCCCAGCCAUUGCAAAGCAAGCCUCUAUGAGACAUAUUUAGACUCCUUGGGAAUCCUUCAUGAGUUUAACUUAUCUCUUUAAUAUUUUGUCCUUAACAGAGAUUACUUUAUUAAUUGCCAUGAACAAGGAUGGUUGGACUUUGCAUCUUUGUUUUAAGCUCUUCAGGGUUUUUCCAGAAAAGGAAGCUCAUAACCCUUUACCAUUGAUACAUGAGGAUCUGAAUAAGCCUCCUAAAACCUCAAACAGGUCUUUUGUGGGUUUCUUCCUUUGUUGGUUUACCAGAAUUAUUAUAUUAUCACCAAUUAUUUGGCUGGGGUUAGCAAUUCCUUUGAACUAAAAUGGAGAAUGAAGAAACUUGAGAUGAUAUCUGUGAAGGAAUACCAAGAAGAGGAAUGGCAUAGAUUGUGUCAGACCUCUAGUCCCUCCCAUAAGAAGCAUGUGUAUGUAAUGUAGGGUAGGCUUUAAAUCUCUAAACUGCUGGCAGUUCAAAACCCGUCUACACAGAUCUUGCAUGGGGCAGCAGGCUAGGCUCUUGCUAAAUGUUCUUCCUUGGAAAGAAGACUGUGCUGGUUCACAAGUUUCACCACUGUAUGUAUCCUUCCACAAACUGGGAUUCAAAGAUAGAGAGAAGAGAGGGUGCCAGCCUUACCCUGAAUCUUGACCUAAUGCAGUGACUACCUGCCAGCCCCCUCUUAAGAUCUGACUGUAAUCUAAACUGCGGGAAGAUCUCAUCAUAAAUCCAAAGAAUUGCUGAGAAGCAAUAAUACAGCCUCUAUCCCACAGUCUAGUGACACUUAAAGGGUCUGAUUUGCUCCCCCCUGGUAGAGGAGGCAGUGGUUUUGUGGCAAUAUAAUCCAUCUGUCUUUUUUUNAAUCGGAGCUGUAGCCACCGGCCUACGCCAGAGCCACAGCAACGCGGGAUCCGAGCCGCGUCUGCAACCUACACCACAGCUCACAGCAACGCCGGAUCGUUAACCCACUGAGCAAGGGCAGGGACCGAACCCGCAACCUCAUGGUUCCUAGUCGGAUUCGUUAACCACUGCGCCACGACGGGAACUCCUCCAUCUGUCUCUGAUGCAGCCUUUAAGAUACGCUGUGACGCUGAAUAAUGUCCCAGAAUCCAAACCGCGAGUGAGGCAAGCAGAUCAGCAGAGCUUUUGUGGUACUUGGGACUCAACUGACCUGAGGUCUUCCUGGGACACCUUCAUGUAAAUGAGUGCUGAGGACGUGAUUUGGACAGCUUAAUCCUACAUUGUCAAGAAGGCUGGAGCCAACAUAAUCUCCAGACAUGCUUUCAUUCAAAACCGGAAUACAAUUGGACUAUUUCAACUUUGAUUUCCCAUUAUCUCCCAGAGAACUGCAACAGUUUACUAGGAAGAAAGAGAAGAAAAGGGGAAAAGAGAAGAAAAAGACCAGUCUAUAUCCUUUCUGAAAUCCUGUUCAGAGGAUUUGCUGCAACGGCAUUCCAGCUUCAAAUAAGACUGAUUAAAAUAAAAUUACUCAGUCUCCUGACCCA